rnacentral:rRNA from 1 species
CCUACGGGAGGCAGCAGUGGGGAAUAUUGGGCAAUGGGCGCAAGCCUGACCCAGCAACGCCGCGUGAAGGAAGAAGGCUUUCGGGUUGUAAACUUCUUUUAUCAGGGACGAAGCAAGUGACGGUCCCUGAUGACUAAGCCACGGCUAACUACGUGCCAGCAGCCGCGGUAAUACGUAGGUGGCAAGCGUUAUCCGGAUUUACUGGGUGUAAAGGGCGUGUAGGCGGGAGGGCAAGUCAGAUGUGAAAACUAUGGGCUCAACCCAUAGCCUGCAUUUGAUACUGUGCUUCUUGAGUGCAGGAGAGGCAAUCGGAAUUCCGGGUGUAGCGGUGAAAUGCGUAGAUAUACGGAGGAACACCAGUGGCGAAGGCGGAUUGCUGGACAGUAACUGACGCUGAGGCGCGAAAGCGUGGGGAGCAAACAGGAUUAGAUACCCUAGUAGUC